rnacentral:lncRNA from 1 species
UCCCUUAAUUUGAUGUUUUUUUAACUCUCUUUUUUUCCCUUAAAAGGGUGGUUUGAUCUAUAAUCUAUAGCUAGCUAAGAUCUGUUAAAUAAUAGCACUUAUGCUUAUCCCGGUAAGAAAGACUCUGAUGGUAGUUUUUGGACGAUGAACAUGGGUUUUGCAAGAAAAAAAGAGCAUUACCAUUUCAUGCAAAUAGGGAACCUUGAAAAUCUCCUAACUUUUUCCCAUCCUUUCAUUUCAAAUCUAUUCCACGGAAGGAUUCGGUCUUUGGUACAUUCUAACAAACACGUCGUUGUUUUUUUUUUUUUCAAUUCCUCAGAGACGCGAGAAUCUUGGCAUCUUGUUUCAAUUCUCCUCUCUUUAAUACCCCUUUUGUAAUAGCUCCUACAGCACUUGUAGAGUUUUAUCAUUACAUUUUGUUCUCCAGAUAUACUAAUCUAACGACAUAGGCCUCUGCCUCUAGACAACAAAACCUAAAAAACCCAAUAAUUCACACAUAUUUUCCUACAGGUUCUAGAUGCUAAAGAGAGGAUUAAGACAAUGAGGCCCCUACUCGUUGAAAAACUGGGUGUCCAAAUCCACCAAACUUUCAGUCAAGGAAGAUGCAAAGGUGCAUCCACCUUUCUUAACCAGCCACUGGAAAUGCUGACUGACUAUUUUUGCCAUGCAUGAUUGAAAAGAAAACAUUGUGAAACCAAAUACUAUGCUAAUUAAAUAGCAUGAGCAAAGUCCUACGUAAAACCAAUCUUCUCAAAAGGGAAUGUAGUGACUAAUCCAUUCGAAUGAUUGUUUGCAAAAAUGAUUAUAAGAAAUCUGCCUUCCAUAAUUACACACGACGGUGAGGAUAUGGAUAGUUACUAAUAUAGAGUUGGGAUCAUUUGUAUUGCGUAUUUUGCACUAUAGAAGCUGGUGUAUGUUUGGAUGGGUACUGAUAUAGAUGAGUACUUUCUUUUUCUAAUAAUGAUUCUCUCACUCUCAUCACUAGUCAAUUGUCCAGAGAGCUUAAGUCUUGAUCAUCUCAUUCCGUUAUAAAUAAUUUUUAUAAACUUUCCUUUUUUAAUAAAGGCCGGAUAGCUUUGCCUCCCUCUUCAUAAAAAUAAAAUAAAAAGUCUUGGUCAUCUCAUGCAAUUACGCAAAAUUUCCACCACAAAACUCCUCUUGGAAAUAUGCCAAAGGCCACUGGGUUUGUUGUGCUUUAAGUCUUAAAUCUUUGGCAAC